CCUACGGGAGGCAGCAGUGGGGAAUAUUGGGCAAUGGGCGCAAGCCUGACCCAGCAACGCCGCGUGAAGGAAGAAGGCUUUCGGGUUGUAAACUUCUUUUCUCAGGGACGAAGCAAGUGACGGUCGCUGAGGAAUAAGCCUCGGCUAAAUACGUGCCAGCAGCCGCGGUAAUCCGUCGGUGGCAAGCGUUAUCCGGAUUUACUGGGUGUAAAGGGCGUGUAGGCGGGACUGCAAGUCAGAUGUGAAAACCACGGGCUCAACCUGUGGCCUGCAUUUGAAACUGUAGUUCGUGAGUACUGGAGAGGCAGACGGAAUGCCUAGUGUAGCGGUGAAAUGCGUAGAUAUUAGGAGGAACACCAGUGGCGAAGGCGGUCUGCUGGACAGCAACUGACGCUGAGGCGCGAAAGCGUGGGUAGCAAACAGGAUUAGAUACCCCUGUAGUC
rnacentral:rRNA from 1 species